rnacentral:lncRNA from 1 species
GUUCUGCGCAACAAAAAGUAGGCUAUUUGAUUGCACAAGCUUAUUCAGAACGCGUGACUAGGGUGGCACAGCAAUAGAGAAUCCUUCUGAUUUUCUUAAGCCAUACCAUAAUUUAAGAAGUUUUCCGCGUGCAAACAAAAAUGUUGCAAGAUAAGCUUUGAUUCGUCGAUAGAAAGUCGGCCACUAAAUUACUCAAAAAACAAAACAAAA